rnacentral:snoRNA from 1 species
UGAGGAGAAGGCAAAGUGGUUCUCCCUUGAGGGUGAAGCUGUCUCUAGGCAUUGCUUCUGCAACUGUCUCUUGCCAUUGAAGACUGUUCUUCUCUUCCUUUGGGGGAGAAUGGAGGGGGGCUCAUAAUAUUCUAAG